ensembl:miRNA
GUUGUCCUCCAGGUCGCUCUGGCAGCCCUCGUCGUUGAGCGAGUUCUGCUUGGUGACCUUGGGCGAC